UAGGGAAUCUUCCACAAUGGACGCAAGUCUGAUGGAGCAACGCCGCGUGAGUGAAGAAGGUUUUCGGAUCGUAAAGCUCUGUUGUUGGUGAAGAAGGAUAGAGGCAGUAACUGGUCUUUAUUUGACGGUAAUCAACCAGAAAGUCACGGCUAACUACGUGCCAGCAGCCGCGGUAAUACGUAGGUGGCAAGCGUUGUCCGGAUUUAUUGGGCGUAAAGCGAGCGCAGGCGGAAUGAUAAGUCGGAUGUGAAAGCCCACGGCUCAACCGUGGAACUGCAUCGGAAACUGUCAUUCUUGAGUGCAGAAGAGGAGAGUGGAAUUCCAUGUGUAGCGGUGGAAUGCGUAGAUAUAUGGAAGAACACCAGUGGCGAAGGCGGCUCUCUGGUCUGCAACUGACGCUGAGGCUCGAAAGCAUGGGUAGCGAACAGG
rnacentral:rRNA from 1 species